rnacentral:misc_RNA from 1 species
AACGCACCUUGCGCCUCUUGGCUAUUCCGAGGGGCAUGCCUGUUUGAGUAUCAUGAACACCUCAACUCUCAUGGUUUGCCCGUGAUGAGCUUGGACUUCUGGAGGUUUUGCUGGCCCUGCGGUCGGCUCCUCUCAAAUCGAUCAGCUUACCAGUGUUCGGUGGCGUCAUGGGUGUGAUAACUAAUCUACGCUUGUGGCCGUCUGCCGGGUAACCUUCAGCGAUGGAGGUUCGCUGGGGCUUACAAACGUCUCUCCUCAGCGAGGACAGCUUUUUGAACGUUCGAUCUCAAAUCAGGUAGGACUACCCGCUGAACUUAA